GGAUGUGAGGGCGAUCUGGCUGCGACAUCUGUCACCCCAUUGAUCGCCAGGGUUGAUUCGGCUGAUCUGGCUGGCUAGGCGGGUGUCCCCUUCCUCCCUCACCGCUCCAUGUGCGUCCCUCCCGCAGCUGCAUGCUCGGUUGAAGAGGAUGACCAUCCCCGAUAGAGGAGGACCGGUCUUCGGUCAAGGGUAUACGAGUAGCUGCGCUCCCCUGCUAGAACCUCCAAACAAGCUCUCAAGAAACAACAGCUAAUGCCAAGUAAAAUAAACAUAAACAAGUAUAAGUUAUCACAAUCAUGGACUGUUUUAAUCUUCCCUCUUUU
ensembl:misc_RNA 7SK 7SK RNA